rnacentral:tRNA from 1 species
UCAGGAAUAGUGAAAAGGUAUCACGAAUGGCUUUGACCCAUUUAUUCUUAGUUCGAAUCUAGGUUCCUGAACCA